GGGGUGUUAGGGCACGACACCGGAGAGGGAGCCUGAGAAACGGCUACCACAUCCAAGGAUGGCAGCAGGCGCGCAAAUUACCCAAUCCCGACACGGGGAGGUAGUGACAAUAAAUAACAAUACGGGGUUCUUUCGGAUUUCGUAAUUGGAAUGAGUACAAUUUAAAUCUCUUAACGAGGAACAAUUGGAGGGCAAGUCUGGUGCCAGCAGCCGCGGUAAUUCCAGCUCCAAUAGCGUAUAUUAAAGUUGUUGCAGUUAAAAAGCUCGUAGUUGAAUUUCGGGACCAUCAUGUCGGUCGUGCCUCGGUACGUACUGGCAUUGUUGGUUUCUCCCUUCUGACGAACCAUGAUGUCAUUUAUUUGGUGUUGUGGGAAAUCAGGACUGUUACUUUGAAAAAAUUAGAGUGUUUAAAGCAGGCUCACGCUUGAAUACAUUAGCAUGGAAUAAUGAAAUAGGACGUUUGAUUCUAUUUUGUUGGUUUCUAGGAUCGACGUGAUGAUUAAUAGGGAUAGUUGGGGGGCAUUAGUAUUCAAUUGUCAGAGGGUGAAAUUCUUGGAUUUAUUGAAGACUAACUACUGCGAAGNGCAUUUGC
rnacentral:rRNA from 1 species